rnacentral:rRNA from 1 species
GAAGCUGGAUUCGCUAGUAAUCGCGCAUCAGCCACGGCGCGGUGAAUACGUUCCCGGGCCUUGUACACACCGCCCGUCAAGCCAUGGGAGCCGGGGGUGCCUGAAGGCCAUGACCGCGAGGAGCGGCCUAGGGUAAAACUGGUGACCGGGGCUAAGUCGUAACAAGGUAGC